rnacentral:misc_RNA from 1 species
AACCUAGCACACCUGCGGUGUGUACCUGCGGAGGGAUCAUUACAAGUAUCAGUGCUUAAAGAGAGACUGCGUCUGCGUCAGCGGACGAGCGCGCGAGUCUCCGGCCUCCCUAUGGUGCUUUUGCGCCGGGGGGCCGCAUGAAACCCGUGUUUAUACGUACCUUUUUGUUGCCUUGGCGGCUUCGGCCGUCAGAGGACCCCAUCUCAAACGCUUUUUGUAGUCAACGUUGCAGUCUGAGCG